rnacentral:siRNA from 1 species
UACGACAAGAUAGAAGUAUUUGCU